UUGCUUGGUGGAUUGAAGGAUCUUGAUUUGUGUUCCCCUCUCUCUCUCUCUCCCCCGCUUUCCCUUUUUUGCUGGUUUCUCCUACUCGGCUUUCGACUUUCUUCAGGAAGAAUCGAUGUGUCUUAGUGUUUGAUCCGUCUUUUUCUUGUGAGGUUGGUUCUGUGGAUUCCAUCGACGGUGUUGUUGACAUGGGAUUUGCGAAGAGAGCUUCCUUCAGUCCACUCAUGGGUGGCUAUGGGACUUUGAUUAGCUGCCGACUCAUUCAUCCACAUGCCUGGCAAACUAGGGUUUUUGCUCGGCACAUGAGUGAAUGAUGCGGGAGGUAAGUCUGAUCCCAUGCCGUCUUUGCUUGGACUGAAGGGAGCUCCCUUAUCUAACACCCCCGUGCAAAGGAUGUGUUCUCUUUGUUCGGGAUAUCUGCAUGUUCAUCCGAAUCACAGAUACUUUUACAAGUUGACCAUGCUCUUCCGAGAAGAGUAUUUGAUUGGUGCGAUGCAACCUUUUCUCUGUUUUUUGGCUACAGACACACCUUUUUCUGUAUGUCGUUGUGUUUGUGAGUUCUUGAUCUGAACUCUUGUUCGACAGUGAACGAGGUUUGUGUGAGUGUAAUCCUUGUGCAAGGCAAGGCUCGGAAACAUGUUUCUGUGGAUGCAAACUUGGGCAAGUCAAGGAAUCGUUUUGUGUGUGAUUCCAGAAUUUAGACAGUUUGAUUGCUAUAGACUUCACCGUGCUUGCUUUGAUCCACUCGAUUCUUUGGUUUCCUCCAUGGAAAAUUAACAUGCAAGCUUUCUGCUUCCGCGCCGAGGGUUUUUUUUUGGGGAAAUAUCUUCCAAACUCAUCAAGCGCAGGCAAAAUUAACUAAAGCUUUCAUUAGAUUCAUAGUACCAUGCUCUUUCUAGUGCAUGUCUACCACAAGGGGACCAUUCGCUUACGGUGAGCACGCUCUCUUGCUUCAAGCUCCUGGAGCUUUGUCAUGAGGGUUUUAUGGCAAGGGAGAAGCUGUAUGGUUCAGUACAGGUUAAGCCCACGAAAGUAAUCAUAUUAUGCCUUGUUUGAGCUUUUUGUUGAUCAGAAUCCUUUGUACUUGCAUGAACAAAAGCAGUCCGUAAGCAUCAAAACUUAGACAUGAACAGAAGUGGAGACAAGAACAGAAUUGGCUCUUUUUUGUUUUUCGUUUUUAAUGAGUGUGGCUAAAGGAAGCAGUAUUUUGUUGUUGUACUUUCUUUCAAGGAGUAAAAAUAGUGAUUCUUCAUUUUCUCAGCUUUUUUUCCUGCUUUAUUAUUGAUGAGUUCAAUGCUGCAGAUGUUUUCCAUCUUACUAAUUGCAGAUCUUUCCGAUGUGUGUAUAAGAUUUUUUGAAGAUCUAUGGCUUGCUUGUGUAUUGGAUAAGUGUGAAUAUUUCAAUAUCUCAUAAAUUCUUCAGUUUUUUCUUGCAAGCAGUAAAGACAACAUUGUGCCAUCUGAUAAAUUUCCGUCUACUGUGUAAGCUUAACUAUCAAUGUUCUCAGUGCUUACUUAAAAUUGUUAAGAUGUUGAUAUUGGAAAUAAAUUGGCACAUAUUUUCGUUAAUAUUGCUUCUUAACUUGAUCAACAAGUUUUUAUUAAUGGUGAUGGCCAUUUAUCUGUUUCAUUUUUUUUUCUUUGAGGUAAAUGAUUGCACUAACCAACCUCACUCGUUUACGGAAACAUCAUCACAUAUGUGAACUUACCAAGAGAAUUGGAAGGGCAGUUGAUAUCUACCCUCUAACUAAGAACUUGAACUUGCACUUUCACUGACCAAUAAAGUCACUAUACCAUCGUCUUGCUUUGGUUGUUUCCAAGUUUUAUCGAGCAAGUAAUUGAUCCAUUGCCAUGUUUUUUUCCUUUUCUUUUCAUUACUUGUAUCUAUCAAUUUGCACUCUCUUCUCUUUUAAACGAAUCACUGAAUUAUGGACUGGUUAGCAGCACAGCAUCUGUUGGCUUCUCUUAGUGCUGCCCUAUGGGGAGAUCUUGUGCUUGUCAGGUGAUGCUUUAAGCUCAAUGUCUGCUGCUUUUUCUUCUUUCUAUGGUAAAUCUAUCUCCAUCAUACUGCGAUUCGAAGCUUCUGCAGCUAUGAAGCAUUGGUGAACUUGAAUUGCACUACCGACAUGUUAAAUCUAGAAGGAAGAUCCCAGCUGACAGUAGAAUUUGACGAACCAAAAUUUCAGUGUGUUCAUAUAAAUGGACAAGCUCAUAGUUUGAUGCUCGCUCACAUACAGACAUUUUGUUCCUCUCCAAAUGAUGGUAAUAAUGUAUUCGGAGCUUCUGUUAAUCUGUAUAUAUAUAUAUUUACAUGUCAUGAUCUUAGUUUUAUUGUGAACAUAACUCCACAUUUGAACUUUUCUUGCCUGCUUGUUUCUGACUAUUGAA